UGGGGAAUAUUGGACAAUGGGCGAAAGCCUGAUCCAGCCAUGCCGCGUGUGUGAAGAAGGUCUUCGGAUUGUAAAGCACUUUAAGUUGGGAGGAAGGGCAGUAAGCGAAUACCUUGCUGUUUUGACGUUACCGACAGAAUAAGCACCGGCUAACUCUGUGCCAGCAGCCGCGGUAAUACAGAGGGUGCAAGCGUUAAUCGGAAUUACUGGGCGUAAAGCGCGCGUAGGUGGUUCGUUAAGUUGAAUGUGAAAGCCCCGGGCUCAACCUGGGAACUGCAUCCAAAACUGGCGAGCUAGAGUGGGGCAGAGGGUGGUGGAAUUUCCUGUGUAGCGGUGAAAUGCGUAGAUAUAGGAAGGAACACCAGUGGCGAAGGCGACCACCUGGGCUCAUACUGACACUGAGGUGCGAAAGCGUGGGGAGCAAACAGG
rnacentral:rRNA from 1 species